CCCCUAGAUGUUCUGGGCCGCACGCGCGCUACACUGAACAGUUCAACAAGUCUUAACCUUGGCCGAUAGGUCUGGGUAAUCUUUGAACGCUGUUCGUGAUUGGGAUAGACCUUUGCAAUUAUGGGUCUUCAACGAGGAAUUCCUAGUAAACGCAAGUCAUCAGCUUGCAUUGAUUACGUCCCUGCCCUUUGUACACACCGCCCGUCGCACCUAACGAUUGAAUGGUCCGGUGAAAUCUCGGGACGGCGGCUUGGUCGCUUGCGUCCGACUGCUGAAACUUGAUUAAACCAUNUNAUUUAGNGGAAGGUGAANUCGUANCA
rnacentral:rRNA from 1 species